GGCGGACGGGUGCGUAACACGUGGACAAUCUACCUUCCGGCGGGGGACAACAGUUCGAAAGGACUGCUAAUACCGCGUACGUCAGCGGGGGCUCCGGCCUUUGCUGAGAAAGAUGGCCUCUCCUUGGAAGCUGUCACCGGAAGAUGAGUCCGCGGCCCAUCAGCUAGUUGGUGAGGUAACGGCUCACCAAGGCUAAGACGGGUAGCUGGUCUGAGAGGAUGAUCAGCCACACUGGGACUGCGACACGGCCCAGACUCCUACGGGAGGCAGCAGUGGGGAAUAUUGGGCAAUGGGCGAAAGCCUGACCCAGCCACGCCGCGUGAGUGAUGAAGGCCUUCGGGUCGUAAAGCUCUGUGGGGGGGGUCGAACAAGCCUGGGGCUAAUCACCCGGGCCCUGACGGUACCCCCUUAGCAAGCACCGGCUAACCAUGUGCCAGCAGCCGCGGUAAUACAUGGGGUGCAAACGUUGCUCGGAAUUAUUGGGCGUAAAGCGCGCGUAGGCGGUCGCUUAAGUCGGAUGUGAAAGCCCUCGGCUUAACUGA
rnacentral:rRNA from 1 species